CCCUUGGUUAAAUAAGCAACAGAAAUGAGGAAUUUUGGAAACAAGGCAUGAACCACAGGCAUCAUAUUAUACAUGCCACCUUCUACUUGUUGAAGACACCAGGACUUCUGCCCUGAACCUUGAAGAGUUGUGCUUUCUUCAGUGAACUACCCAGAAAGCAUAGCAAAAGGCACCAGAGAGCCUCUGUUCACUUCUCCAAGGAAAGGCAUGAAAGGAGGACAUACAGACCUGAAAAUGGUAUAAUUCCCAGUUACCCACCGGGAUCUCACAAAAACAAGCAUAGCUGCCAAUGUGUUGGGAAGGGAGAAAGGGGGCAUUCUGGGCUGACAGAAAUGGUUGGGACAGGGAGCUGGGAAGACCACAGGCCUGCUUUGUUGGAGCUGUGGGGCCAGCAGUAAUAGGACAUGAGGUUUUUGCAGAGUCUCUUUGGAGCAUCACCCAGGACAUGACUUUCCAUCUAGAAGGUCAGCUGGAGUCCUCAGUGGUGUUCAGUCAGCAGCACCCCACACAGCUGGCACCUACCCCUCCCUUCUCAGUACUCCUUCUCAGCAUCUAAGACCAGACCCUCAAAGUCAUGGGCUGAAGGAAACCAUUUGGAAGUUCCAUCCAUCCUUCUCCAGCCAGAGUGGCUCAGGCAACUCACGGGUGUUAAGCCCUAAAGUCAUUUGUUAUGUCCUGAAGCAUAAAUGGCAAAAAAAAAAAAAAAAAAAAAAAACCUCUCCUAAUCCA